AAGGAACCACCAGGAGUGCAGCCUGCGGAUUAAUUUGACUCAGCACGGGGAAACUCACCCGGCCCGGGCACCGAAAGGAUUGACAGAUUGAUAGCUUUUUCUUGAUUGGGGGGAUGGUGGUGCAUGGCCGUUCUUAGUUCGUGGAGCGAUUUGUCUGGUUGAUUCCGAUAACGAGCGAGACUCUAGACUACUAAAUAGUUCGGACAUUGUCUCUGUGUGGGUGACUUCGUAGAGGGAUUUUCGGAGUACACCCUCCCAAAAUUGACCAAUCCCCAGUCUGUGACCCCUUAGAUGUCCGGGGCUGCACGCCGACUACACUGGACUUCUCUCCAUGCUUGUCCUUCCCCGAAAGGUGCUGGACAACCCUUGAAAAUUAGCCGGGACUGGGAUUGGAAAUUGCGACUAUUUUCCUUGAACGAGGAAUUCCUAGUAUGUGUGAGACAUCAGUUCGCUUUGAUUACCUCCCUGCGCUUUGUACACACCGCCCGUCGCUGCAUACCUCUGACCAAUUUCGAGAAA
rnacentral:rRNA from 1 species